GACGAACGCUGGCGGCGUGCUUAACACAUGCAAGUCGAACGGAAAGGCCCUGCUUUUGUGGGGUGCUCGAGUGGCGAACGGGUGAGUAACACGUGAGUAACCUGUCCUUGACUUUGGGAUAACUUCAGGAAACUGGGGCUAAUACCGGAUAGGAGCUCCUGCUGCAUGGUGGGGGUUGGAAAGUUUCGGCGGUUGGGGAUGGACUCGCGGCUUAUCAGCUUGUUGGUGGGGUAGUGGCUUACCAAGGCUUUGACGGGUAGCCGGCCUGAGAGGGUGACCGGCCACAUUGGGACUGAGAGACGGCCCAGACUCCUACGGGAGGCAGCAGUGGGGAAUAUUGCACAAUGGGCGGAAGCCUGAUGCAGCAACGCCGCGUGCGGGAUGACGGCCUUCGGGUUGUAAACCGCUUUCGCCUGUGACGAAGCGUGAGUGACGGUAAUGGGUAAAGAAGCACCGGCUAACUACGUG
rnacentral:rRNA from 1 species